rnacentral:lncRNA from 1 species
AUCAACUUCUGAGGAUAACAAGGAACCAAGUCAUUAUCAUGAAAACUAGUCAAAAGGAAAGAAUCAAACAUUUUUCUUGCCUUUUCUAUAUUCAAUUAUAAUUCAUAAAAAAGUACCCUGGGAUACCCAAAUAGAUGAAGGGACGCUUUUCCUUACAGAGAUACUUCAGAGAAUAAACAACAACUGAACGACAGGACGAGGAUACCACCACUAAGAACCUUCAGGAAAUUUACAAAGCAAGGCUUGAGCUGACAUCAAUAAAAGAGUGUGAAAUGGGUGCAGUGUACCCCUGGGGCAAGCAGGGCGUGGCACAGUUAGAGUCUAACCAAGGGGUGGUACUUGGGCUGGAUCACACCUCAGGAUCCUGCUGCCAGUUUGCAACAAAUACAGAAAACAGUUAUAUGUUGAUGACAUGGUUUGGCUAUGUCUCCACCCAAAUCUUAUCUUGAAUUGUAAGAGUUCCCAGUGUUGUGGGAGGAACCUGGUGGGAGGUAACUGAAUCAUGGGGGUGAGUCUUUGCCAUGCUGUUCUCAUAAUAGUAUGUCUCAUGAGAUGUGAUGGUUUUAAAAGGGAAAGUUUCCCUGCACAAGCUCUCUUCUCUUGUCUGCCCCCACGUGAGACGUGCCUUUCACCUUCCGCCACGAUUGUGGGGCUUCCCCAGCCACACGGAACUGUUGUUUGCUCCACUGACAGUUUCUUCUGCUGUGCAGAAGCUGCUCAGUUCAACCAAGUCCCACUGGUCAAUGUCUGCCUUUGCUGCAAUUGCCCCUGGAGUCUUCAUCAUAAAAUCCCUGCUGAGACCAGUGUCUGGAAUGGUACUUCCUAGGUUUUCCUCCAAGAUUUCCACAGCUUUAUGUGUUACAUGUAAGUCUUUAAUUUAUCUUGAGUUGAUCUCUGUACAUGGUAAACAGAAGGGGCCCAGUCCCAAUGUCCCCACACAUGGCUAACCAGUUAUCCCAGCACCAUUCACCAAACAGGGGUCUUCUCCCCACUGCCUGUCAUUUUUGGCCCAGAGGCAAGAAAGGUAGUGACUCUACAUGAUACUUUCAAACAUGUGGAAAACUAAAGAAUAUGAUGGUUGGCUGCUCCUCAUGUCACUGGACAGAAUGGAGGGAAAAAAAGGGUUAGGUGAAUGAUGUAGCUUGGAUACUUGCCCUUGCCCAAAUCUCAUGUUGAAAUCUUGGAGGUUGGACCUGGUGGGAGAGGUGUUUGGAUCAUGGGGCCGAUCCCUCAUGAAUGGCUUGGACCAUCCCCUUGGUGAUGAGUGAGCUUCUCACUCUGAGUUCACAGAAGUUCUGGUUGUUUAAAGGUGUGUGGCACCUCCCCUCACUCUCCCUCUCCUUCUCUUUCUUGUUCCAGUUUUCACUGUGUAAUGUGUCUGCUCCCCCUUCACCUUGAGCUAUAAUUACUGUUUCCUGAGGCCUCGCCAGAAGCUGACCAGAUGCUAGCACCAUGCUUCCUGUACAGCCUGCAGAACUGUGAGCCAAUUAAACCUCUUUUCUUUACAAAUUACCCAGCCUCAGCUAUUUCUUUAUAGCAAUCCAAGAAUGGCCUAAUGCAAUCAGGGAUUUGAAUUUCCAUAUCAAGCUCCACAUAAAUAACCUAAGAAUUUCUAGGUGUACCUUGAAGGAGAAUCUUCUCUCUGCAGCUAUGGGACUGAAAUGGCCAAAAAUCAAACACAACUCCUCAUCGUGCGAUUCUGCCUGAAUUACAACAAAAGUUGAACUCUCAGCCUUGCAGGCUAUCUACUGUUAAAGUGAAGACCUUGGUUGGGGAAAAAUGGAAUCUGGCAAGUUGUGGUGGGGACAUGUGAGAAGCCCCUGAUGAGGCUGGGGACACUGCAUCUUUAAAUUCUGAUGAGUUAUUUUUGCCAAAGAAAGUGGCCUCCCCACCUACAAUGGUGUUGGCCUCUCCACUUUACGUCUAAGGAGAUUAACCCUGCAGUCCCUGAGGAAAUAGCACUACUCCCCUGAGGCAGUUGUCAAGCAAGACAAAGCUAAUGCUCCUCAGGACCCACCCCAGUGCCCCUCUUUGCUUCUAGACCUAUAACCAGACCCAUGUCCCAGCAGUACCUAAAGAUGAGGUACAGUGUGUGGCCCAUGAGAUGGUGACUACUCUGCAAAAGAACUCCUCGAGUUUCCUGAGUUGUACAAGCAGAAAUCUGAGGAACACGUGUAGGAAUAGAUACUAAGGGUGUGGGAUAGUGGUAGAAGGAACAUAAAGUUGGAUCGGAGGAUCAGACUGAAUUCAUUGACAUGGGUCCACUAAGCAGAGAUUCUGUAUGUAACACCGUAGCUUGGGGAGUUAGAAAGGGUUCUCAUGGUUGGUUGGUCACCUGGUUAUCUAAAACACGCAGCAAAAUAUGCCCCACUGUGAAUUAGCUGGAAAUGCCUGAUCCCCCCUGCCUUAACUAGAGGAAGAGAUUUAAAGGCUUAGGGUGACUGAAAUGCAAGAGCAGGAUUGUCACUUGGGACUCACUCGCUCACCCCGGAAGGGUCCAGAAGACACACCUUUCACCAAUACCUUGUGAAACAGAUUCAUGAGGGGAGCCCCAGCACCUUUGAAGAGCUCCCUGAUUGCUCCUUUCUUACAAUGGGAACCACAACCACUCAACUGGAAAACUUAAUGCAGUAAAAUAAUUGGAUCCCAGGGUGACAGGAGUCACACGGUGGUACUCAGUGGCCAAAGGAAAAGUAGAUGUAGUUACAUAGAGGGACAGCAUAGGCAAAGCAACCAUCAGAAUAGUCUGAUUCAUGUAGAUCUAUGGCAUUGGCUAGAUGAUCAUGGUGUUUCAAGACGUGAAAUAGAUGGGAUAGUCUACUAAACUCUUAAUUGAUCUGCAUAAGGGGAAAACUUCAGGUCAAGUAAACAAAAGUCUAACUCAAAUUAUAAAAACAGAGAAUCAGGGCCCCUUAAUUAAUUCCCAGACUUGAGCCAGUUUAUAGACCCAGAACCCAUUGACCGAAUGGGAGGUCAGAUCCCCUCCAGGAAAGACCCUAAUACACUAUUGAAAGUGUAUACCGUUGGCUGGGUGCGGUGGCUCACGCUUGUAGUCCCAGCACUGCGGGAGGCCAAUGCGGGCGGAUCACAAGGUCAGGAGUUCAAGACCAGCCUGGUCAACACGGUGAAACCCCGUCUCUACUAAAAAUACAAAAAUUAGCUGGGCCUGGGGACAGGCACCUGUAAUCCCAGCUGCUCGGGAGACUGAGGUAGGAGAAUCGCUUGAACCUGGGAGGCAGAGCUUGCAGUGAGCUGAGGUGGCACCACUGUGCUCCAGCCUGGGCAACAGAGCAAGACUCCACCUCAAAAAAAAAAAAAAAAAAAAAAAAAAAGAAAGAGAGUGUAUACUGUUAAUCUUUCCCCCAGUCUUCCCCAAAGGGACCCACAGCCUUUUACCAGGGUAACUGCAUUAAGGGAAAGGAAACAAUCAGACACUGGGAGACUUCUGAACAAUGGCUCUGAACUGACACUGAUCCCAGGAGACCUGAAACGUUACCGCAGCCCUCCAUUUAAAGUAGGGCUUAUGGAGGUCAAGUGGUCAAUGGAGUUUUAGCUCAAGUUUGAUUUACAGUGAGUCCAGUGGGUCCCUUAACCCAUCCCGUAGUCAGUUCCCCAGCUCCAAAUGCAUAAUUGGAAUAGACAUGUUUAGCAGCCAGCACAAUCCCUACACUGGUUCCCUAACAUGUGGGGUGAGGGCUAGUAUGGUGGGAAAGGUCAAAUGGAAGCCAUUAGAGCUGCCUCCACCUAGAAAUCAAAGGUGAUACAGCAUUUUUAGAGGUUUGCAGAGAUCAGCGCCACCACCAAGGACUCGGGGUGAUGAUCCCCAACCCCAUCCCUGCUCAAUUCUCUUAUUUGGCCUGUGCAGAGAACAGAUGGCUCUCAGAGAAUGACAGUGGAUUAUCAUAAGUUUAACCAGGUGGUGACUCUAAUUGCAACUACUUUACCAGAUGUGGUUUCAUCGCUUGAGAAAAUUAGCAAUACCCUGCUACCUGGUAUGCAGCUAUUGAUCUGGCAAAUGUUUUUUUCUCCAUACCUGUCCUUGAGGCCCACAAGAAGCAGUUUGCUUUCAUCUGGCCAGGCCAGCAACAUACCUUCACUGUCCUACCUCAGGCAUGUGUCAACUCUUCAACCCUAUGUCAUAGUUUCGUUCAGAGAGAUCUCGACUGCCUUUCCCUUCCAUAGAUAUCACACUGGGCCGUUACAGUGAUGGUUUAUGCUGAUUGAACCUAAACAGCGAGAAGUAGCAACCACUCUAGACUUACUGGUAAGACAGUUGUGUGUCACCUCCAGCCCUUUCAAUCCUCUUUACACUGCUCUACUUUUUCCCCAUAGCAAGUAUCCCCUUCAAACAUCCUAAGUAAUUCACUUUGUAUUAUGUUCAUUAUUUAUUAUCUGUCUUCCCCGUAGAAUGUAAGGUCCAAAGGUCCAAAAGAGUAGGAAUCUGUUUUAUUCACUGAUACAGAGAGUAUCCAGUAGCAUAAGCAGGUGUUCAACAAUUUUUUUUUUUUUUUUUUUUUUGAGACAGUGUCUCUGUUGCCCAGGCUAGGGUGCAGUGGCGCAAGCUUCACCUCCCAGGUUCACAUCAUUUUCCUGCCUCAGCCUCCCAAAUAGCUGGGACUACAGGUGCCCACCACCAUGCCCAGCUAAUUUUUGUAUUUUUAGUAGAGACGGGGUUUCACCAUGUUGGCUAGGAUGGUCUCCAUCUCCUAACCUCGUGAUCUGCUCACCUCGGCCUCCCAAAGUGCUGGAAUUACAGGCGUGAGUCACCAUGCCCGGCCCAACAAAUGUUUGUUGAAUGAAUAAAGUUGGAGAAGUAUGUAUUAAAGCAAGGAUUCUAAGCAAUACUGAACUGGGAGGUGUUGGAUACAAGGCGGUGAAGCUGCAGGUUGCAGAAGCAGAUGGGUUAUGGGAAUAAAACUGCUGUUGGGACUAAAGUCAGUGCGAAGGACAACACACGGAACAGACAGACAAAACAGCAAUGAUGGUAGAGUAGAACUGUCCCAGGAGGCCGGGCGCAGUGUCUCACACCUCAGCACUUUGUGAGACCAAGGCAGGUGGAUCAUGAGGUCAGGAGAUCGAGAUCAUCCUGGUCAACAUGGUGAAAUCCAAUCUCUACUAAAAAUAUAAAAAUUAGCCGGGCAUGAUGGCACACACCUGUAGUCCCAGCUACUCAGGAGGCAGAGGUUGAGCCGAGAUUGUGCCGCUGUACUCCACCUGGGCUACAGAGUGAGACUCCGUCAGUCCAUCAAUAACUGUCCCAGGAACUGCUAAAAGACUUAACAGCUGCACCCCUUCCCUAUAUGGC